rnacentral:rRNA from 1 species
UACGAAGGGGGCUAGCGUUGCUCGGAAUUACUGGGCGUAAAGGGCGCGUAGGCGGAUAGUUUAGUCAGAGGUAAAAGCCCAGGGCUCAACCUUGGAACUGCCUUUGAUACUGGCUAUCUAGAGUAUGGGAGAGGUGUGUGGAACUCCGAGUGUAGAGGUGAAAUUCGUAGAUAUUCGGAAGAACACCAGUGGCGAAGGCGACACACUGGCCCAUUACUGACGCUGAGUCUCGAAAGCGUGGGGAGCAAACAGG